rnacentral:lncRNA from 1 species
UUAUGGAAUUCAAAGCCCAGAACAAUGGGCUCUAUUUAAUAUUAAACGUGUUCUUAAUAAGCCACAGUUUCUCUCCAGAGCUGUUGGAAGGUCCCUCUUGGGCAUCCAGAAUCGCUGUAACAGUUCCCGUGAAGUUGUAAGCAACUCCCCAAGACCAAGUCGUGUUAAAUUUAGAAGUCACUCGAAUCACCUGAUUGUCGGUGAGCCCCGAUCGAAGAAUUCCCAAGUCUAUCCUUGUCCUCCCAUCUCUCUUAUCUAGAUUUACAGACGCAGUUAUCCGCGUGGCUCGGGGUUCCCCGCCCGCAGCUCCUGGAACCUGGCCCGGCUGAGGACGCCCUUCUAGCGCCGGGAACUGGCGCUCACGGGGCACUCCCCCAAGCCGAUGCCUGGGCGCGACCUCCUGGCACUCCCCCCGCCUCCGACACUCAGCUGCCGACCCUUACGCCAAACUGGGGCGUGCCGCGAGCCUCGCCUUCUCUCCCAGGGUGCGGGGCCCCACCCCUUCCCCGUGUCCGCCAGUCCCCGGGCCCGCGGCGAGGGUAGGUGGACUUCCUGCCUGGCCUUAGCCGCCGCCUCCUUGGUCCUCGUCCUCCGGCGCCGGCGCUGCGGCGCGGGGCCGCGGUGGCGCGGGAACGCGGGGAUGCACUCUCGCGCGCGGGAGGGGUGACCCUGGGGACACGCGCGGCCGCGGGAGGGAGCGUGAGAGGGGGAACAAGGCUGGCUUGGCGAAAGGGGUCGCCCGGCGUUAUGAGGCGGGGGCGUCACCGGCCGGGGCCCUCCGCUGGCUCUCCUCCUUCCAGAGCUUUGCUGGCGCCUGGCACGGUGAAUGGGAAGAUGGAGAUGGAUGUUGAGGGAGUUUCUCCGCGCGAGGAUCCCAUCCCCCGCUCCCAGGGGGCUGGCGGAGCCUGCCAAGCGCCGCCACAGCCGCCCCAGCCCCAGCCCCCGCCGCCGCCGCAGCAGCCGGCUCCGGAUGAACCGCCCGGCGAGAGCGCGGGCACGGAGGACAGCGACGAUCCCGAUCCUGAGGCGAGACCUGACAGCGAGAAGGGAGAGAGCAAGCAGUUUCAAGGAGUGGCUGGAGAAGGGACAUACAGACUGAGUAGGGAAAGCUUGUCUGGCACAGCUGUGGAAGCAGAUGCUCAUGGAAGAGAGGCAGAGGUGAAGAUCAGAGGGGGGAAAGAAAAAAAAUCAAUAUUCUACCAUUCUUCUUUCAUCCCAAGGAAGUUGAAAGACUUUAGCUGCAAAGUGAGGAGAUCAGAAGAGAAACAGAUUCAUGAAAAAAUACCCCCAACUUAA